ACCCCGGUGGUGAAACGGACGAUCACGCGAGCCUCCGAAGCUCGAGGUCUGGGUUCGACUCCCGGCUGGGGUA
rnacentral:tRNA from 1 species